AAUGGGCCGGGGGGGGGGGGGACGACAAGAGGCAAGGGACCCUACUGAGCCUAGCCUCUCUUCUUUCCCAG
rnacentral:miRNA from 1 species